rnacentral:rRNA from 1 species
CCUACGGGUGACAGCAGUGAGGAAUAUUGGUCAAUGGGCGCGAGCCUGAACCAGCCAAGUAGCGUGAAGGAUGACUGCCCUACGGGUUGUAAACUUCUUUUAUGAAGGAAUAAAGUGAGGCACGUAUGCCUUUUUGUAUGUACGUUAUGAACAAGGAUCGGCUAACUCCGUGCCAGCAGCCGCGGUAAUACGGAGGAUCCGAGCGUUAUCCGGAUUUAUUGGGUUUAAAGGGAGCGUAGAUGGGUUGUUAAGUCAGUUGUGAAAGUUUGCGGCUCAACCGUAGAACUGCAAUUGAUACUGGCAGUCUUGAGUACAGUUGAGGUAUGCAGAAUUCGUGGUGUAGCGGUGAAAUGCUUAGAUAUCACGAAGAACUCCGAUUGCGAAGGCAGCUUCCUGGAC